rnacentral:rRNA from 1 species
AUUCAUGGCUCAGGACGAACGCUGGCGGCGCGCCUAACACAUGCAAGUCGAACGAGCGAGAGAGAGCUUGCUUUCUCAAGCGAGUGGCGAACGGGUGAGUAACGCGUGAGGAACCUGCCUCAAAGAGGGGGACAACAGUUGGAAACGACUGCUAAUACCGCAUAAGCCCACGACCCGGCAUCGGGUAGAGGGAAAAGGAGCAAUCCGCUUUGAGAUGGCCUCGCGUCCGAUUAGCUAGUUGGUG